UGAAACUCCAUCUCAAAAAAAAAAAAGUACACAAUAGAGUAGGCUAGAGUUGAAUUAGAAAAUAUACGAGUUUAAGGCAGUUAAUGAAGCUAAAUAUUGUUUUACAAAACUUUUGUUUCAGUUAUAUGUAUGUUUAUGUGUACCAAUCAUAUAUAAAAUGGAUUUCUUUCUGUAGGUCAUAGUCAGCAAAGUUCAAGAAACACUAAUGCAGAGGAAAAUAUCCUGAAGGUGGGUUUCGAGCUGCCAUCUUGAACUGUGAGGUGGGAAAUGCGUGCUGAGGAGGGUGGAGCUUGGGUGGCCAAACCCAUGCAAGAGCCAUACCAGCCCAGCAAUGGAUCUUCCACAGGACGGACAAAGAAAGGAAGAAACUUCUGUCUCAUGCCAUCAGCAAGAUGCAACCUGCUCUGACCCACCAGCCUGGUUCUGCUCACCAUGCCACCGAAAUCCAGCAGGCUCCUUGGCAAUGAGAAGAUGCAACUGUGUUAGCCGUGGUUUUCUGCAGAAGGACUGGCCCUGGCCCUCACCACAAACAUGAACCCUGCAUUGAGCCUGAGUUAUUGCCCUGAUGCUGAGAGCAAAAUUAAUUCUGUUUCAAAAAAAAAUAAAUGCUUUCUGAGAAACUAAGAGGAAAGUGAUGCCACCCCAUAUCUUGCUACCCAGCUGGGCGGGGACCCUGUGAGCUGUCAGCACCAGUAUGGGAGAAGUGGGGUGGAAGAGAGCCCAGGCCAAGGUCAGAUACAGACAAGAACAGAGGCAAGUCUCCAAGUCCGGGAUGCGGAGCUGUCCGCACCACAGGGCAUUGGGCAAGCUCAGGAUGGAGUCAACAGCUGGAGGUGCCAAGUUGGAGCAAGGGCACUCUGUGGGCAUCCAAGAGCUGAGCUGCAAGGAUGGGAGAAGGGGUCAGCAGAGAGUAAGGGCACGCUACCCCCUUUCUUUGCCUGAUUUACCACUACUCAUCUUUUGUACCUUGGCUCAGACCCCAUUUUAUCUCAAGAGAGGCCAUCGUCCUGCGAUUCUCCUCCACAGCACCUACCACUGAAGUGAGUUAAUUGGGAACUGAUUUUGGAGUCCUCCCUGCCAGA